rnacentral:rRNA from 1 species
GUUGCGCCCCAAGCCUUUGGGCCGAGGGCACGUYUGCCUGGGUGUCACGCAUUGUAGCCCCCCCACCCUCGUGGUAAUGUCUAUGAGGGCUGUGUGCGGCUGAUAYUGGCCUUCCCGUAUGCACAGCAAUGCGGUUGGCCCAAAUGGAGGAACCCAGGGCAGUGCAUGCCAUGAUGAGCGGUGGUGUGCUCUUAGCCUGCCGUCGUUAGAGCAUCAUGUGCAUCAUGCCCUUGAGGUGUGUUUCGUGGACAACCCCGRUGCAAUUGCAGYGCGCAUCGCGACCCCAGGUCAGGCGGGAGCACCCGCUGAGUUUAAGCAUAUCAAUAAGCGGAGGAAAAGAAACUUACCAGGAUUCCCCUAGUAACGGCGAGCG